GAUGAACGCUGGCGGCGUGCCUAAUACAUGCAAGUCGAGCGAACGGACGAGAAGCUUGCUUCUCUGAUGUUAGCGGCGGACGGGUGAGUAACACGUGGAUAACCUACCUAUAAGACUGGGAUAACUUCGGGAAACCGGAGCUAAUACCGGAUAAUAUUUUGAACCGCAUGGUUCAAAAGUGAAAGACGGUCUUGCUGUCACUUAUAGAUGGAUCCGCGCUGCAUUAGCUAGUUGGUAAGGUAACGGCUUACCAAGGCAACGAUGCAUAGCCGACCUGAGAGGUGAUCGGGCCCACCGGAACUUGGAACCGGGUCCGAAUCCCUAGGGAGGCAGGCGUAGGGAAUUUUUCGGCAUGGGCGGAAGCCCUACCGAGGCACGCCGGCGGAGUGAAUAAGGUUUUCGGAUUCUUAAACCUUUUUAAUAGGGAAGAACAUAUGGUUAAGUAACUGUGCACAUCUUGACGGUACCUAAUCAGAAAGCCACGGCUAACUACGUG
rnacentral:rRNA from 1 species